rnacentral:rRNA from 1 species
UACGGGAGGCAGCAGUGAGGAAUAUUGGACAAUGGCCGAGAGGCUGAUCCAGCCAUGCCGCGUGCGGGGGGACGGCCCUAUGGGUUGUAAACCGCUUUUGUCAGGGGGCAAUAAGGUCUACGUGUAGACUGAUGAGAGUACCUGGCGAAUAAGCAUCGGCUAACUCCGUGCCAGCAGCCGCGGUAAU